rnacentral:tRNA from 1 species
GCCGAUAUGGGAUAAUGGUAUUCCAAUAGCUUGCUAAGCUAUCCAACAGAAAUGUUGUCUGUGUUCGAUUCACAGUAUCGGCG